AGCCGCCGCCCCGUCCGGGACCGCAGCACCUCGCAGGAGCCGCCCGGAGCGAGCGAGCCAGCGAGUGCCAGGGCGGGUGGUUUGGGACGGGGCCUCCUGCUGAGGGUCACUUGGGAACGUGCUAUUUGGUGCCAGAACUGGUUCUUCUCAGGAGAUGCUGAGGAGUGUGCCUGCCAGGGCAGUGCUUGCUGUCUACUUCCAAUUUGCUGCUAAGUAUCACGUGUUCUCUCUUGACUGAUGUUCAGCUUUUCCCUGGGGAAAAAAUCAGUAACUGAGAGGCACAAAGUAGCUUUACCUUCCUUGAUGCUGAGGAAUUAUAAUGAGAAAGAAAUCCUAGUAAAGGACCAGUUUCCUUUAUUCCAACUCAGCAUCACUGAAUUUGGCUUUGGGAAGUGGACUUUCCUCAAGCCCCGCUCCGUGUUUCAGCAGGGCCAGGGAGCAGACGGCGUCUCCUGUGUCCUUUGGAGAGCAGUGUGGGCAGUGCCUUGGGGUUCUCCGGAAAUACCUUCAGGAUCUGCUUACCCUACAGCUCGGAUAAAGGUUUUUCCAAAUGUGAAGACCCAGGUAGUAUUUUAUUUCCUCUAUUUUUCUUUGUCUUUGAUGUAAUGUUUCUUUUCUGGCUCUUCAAAAGUCUCUGAUUCUGGAAAUGCCAGGACAGAGUUCACAUAUCUAUAGUAUCCGUAGAGUGUGGAAAUUUUUUACAUUUGAUUGUCUCUCUCUGCAUAAGCUACUCAUCUAAAAGAAAGAAAGAAAGAAAGAAAUUUUCCAGGCAAGUAAGGCAGUUAUUUAUCCAAAUAGAUUUUUUUUAAGUUCUAAAGUUGCUAACCUUGAUUUCAAAAGAGCAUUGGUUAUAACCCUUUUCAAAAAAGAGAUCUGAUGGUCGGGAGUUGACCUAAUCAAAACAGUGCAUACCCAAUUUUUGGAAAAAUACAUUUUAUUGGUUUAAAUGUGGUUGUAAUUAGCACAGUGACUGUGCAAAAUGGCACCCUUGUCUUCAAUAUCACUGCACACUGUGUGUCAUCCAGCUAGUUUUCUGACAAAAACAUGAUCUCUUUUUUAAUUUGUUUACAAUUGCAUAUAUGUAGUUCUGAAUGAAUAAGCCAGGCGAUUAAUUUCUAAAUGAAGUAAUUAACACUUUCAAAGAAUUUUACUUUAAAAUUUCAAAGUGUGAGGUUUUCUAUUGGUGUAAAAUGAGCCUGGAGUAGGAGUCAGGAUGCUUGGGCCCUGGUCCUUGGCCCACCAAUGACACAACGACUUAGGGCCACCACGUUAGCUCUCUGUGUCUCGGUUUUCUCCUCUCUAGAGUGGGCAUAUUAACUCUCCCCUGUCAGUCUGAUGAAAUCAUAUCAGAAUCAAAACAGGUAUGUCAAAGUGCUCUGUAAACUGAAAAGCACCACACAAAUGCAGGGUGUUCAUAUUCUAAGGGGCUUGUCUAAUGUGUCACAACACAGUCCAAAGUGUCAUCCGAGGUGUUGUGUGAAACACAGUGGAAAUAAAGUGAAAUCUGCUUUGUUUCUCAAAUUGUUUUGCUCGGGUUGGAAAAUAAACUGAAUAAACUCGAGCAGAGACUUUGAAAAGAAUAAAUGUUGAAUUUUGGAAAUGCUGUCUUUACGUGAGUCUGGGUGUAAUCAGCUUUUAAACACAUCUUAGUCUGCUCUGAGUCAUGUUGCUGGGACCCUUGAUGAGGCUGUGGGGCAGAGUUAGCUAGGGUUGACAAUCGGCACUCCUUGUGCAUGUGCCCACCUGUGUGCGCAUUCACGUGGGGACGCACGGCAGCUGAGACCAGGGUUCUCACCAGGCGGUGUUUUGCCCUCUCCCCCUCCUCCAGGGAUAUUUGGCAAGGUCUUAAAACAUUUUUGAUUGUCGCAAUUGAGGCAGGGCUGUCGGGCUACAGGCACCUUCUGUGUUGAAAUCAGGGAUGCUGCUCAACAUCCUGUAACGCACAGGACAGCGCCCACAACAAAGUGUCCGGCCUGAAACGUCAGUGGUGCUGAGGCUGGGAAGCAGCCCUACACAGUGGGGUGUUUGUGUUUAAAACAAGUCAGAACACUCAUCAAGUUCUUGCUGGGUCUUGGGUAUGCUGCCCAGGGGUGGAAGAAGAGUUUGUCUAGUCAAAGGAACCCAGCUCUCUGCCCCGUGUGAAGGUCGAGAUUGUUUCCUACUGGUGUCCACAAUGAGUGAGGCUUUUACUGUCUUGAUUGAAGAAAUGUCUUUCCUCUUCCUUUUCUGUAACUGCUCUGCUCUCAAGUUCCUCUGCGGCCGCAGCACAUUCUCUGGGCGUGUCAGCCUUUGGGGGGAGGAAGCACA